rnacentral:rRNA from 1 species
UGGGGAAUAUUGGACAAUGGGCGAAAGCCUGAUCCAGCCAUGCCGCGUGUGUGAAGAAGGUCUUCGGAUUGUAAAGCACUUUAAGUUGGGAGGAAGGGCAGUUACCUAAUACGUAUCUGUUUUGACGUUACCGACAGAAUAAGCACCGGCUAACUCUGUGCCAGCAGCCGCGGUAAUACAGAGGGUGCAAGCGUUAAUCGGAAUUACUGGGCGUAAAGCGCGCGUAGGUGGUUUGUUAAGUUGGAUGUGAAAUCCCCGGGCUCAACCUGGGAACUGCAUUCAAAACUGACAAG